AAGAAAAAAAGCAUCUUGUAAGAAGAUAAAAAUACAUGUAUCAAAACUAUAAAAACUGCUUGUGAUGGUGUAUUUAUUUAAUAUCAAUAAUAUAAUUUUAAUCUGUUUAAUAUAAACACCACCAAAAAAUCUAUACAGAAUGUAUAUAUCAAAUUAUUCUUAACUACUAUAGAAGGAGUGGACAGAUUAUUAUUGUUAUUUUAAUUAGAAUACUGUAGUGCCCAGUAUUACCUCAGGACAGUCCAAACACUGAUCCUGGUAUUCUAUUUAUAUUUAAUCAUGAAUCCACAGUAUAUCUAACCACAGGCUGGAGUGAUCUGUACAUAUUACAAAAAGACUUUACCACAUCAACUGUCAUUUUUCUAGCCUAAAAAAAAAUCCAUGGGUAGAAUGGCAAUAACACUUGGAAAUAAGCUGCCUGUAAUAUAUAUGUAGUAGUUAGCAGCCGAUCUAUAAACAUGAAAUAAUAACUGAUGAUAACUGACCUGCGGUUUGAAAGCUUCA
rnacentral:lncRNA from 1 species